rnacentral:rRNA from 1 species
UACGAAGGGGGCUAGCGUUGCUCGGAAUUACUGGGCGUAAAGGGCUCGUAGGUGGCCAACUAAGUCAUACGUGAAAUCCCUCGGCUUAACCGGGGAACUGCGUCUGAUACUGGAUGGCUUGAGGUUGGGAGAGGGAUGCGGAAUUCCAGGUGUAGCGGUGAAAUGCGUAGAUAUCUGGAGGAACACCGGUGGCGAAGGCGGCAUCCUGGACCAAUUCUGACACUGAGGAGCGAAAGCCAGGGGAGCAAACGGG